AAUCAACGCUGGCGGCGUGCCUCAGACAUGCAAGUCGAACGCGAAAGUCCCCUUCGGGGGACAAGUAGAGUGGCGCACGGGUGGGUAACACGUAGGUAAUCUACCUUUGGAUGGGGAAUAACAACCGGAAACGGUUGCUAAUACCGCAUAAUGCAGCGGCACCUAAUGGUGACAGUUGUUAAAGCGGGGGAUCGAAAGACCUCGCGUCUAAAGAGGAGCCUGCGGCGGAUUAGCUAGUUGGUAAGGUAAGGCUUACCAAGGCUACGAUCCGUAACCGGCCUGAGAGGGCGGUCGGUCACACUGACACUGACAUACGGGUCAGACUCCUACGGGAGGCAGCAGUCGGGAAUUUUGGGCAAUGGGCGCAGGCCUGACGACGCAACGCCGCGUGGAGGACGAAGAUCUUCGGGUCGUAAACUCCUGUCGAGUGGAAAGAAUAAUUCGGGGACGAAUACUCCCCGGAAUUGACGGUACCACUAAAGGAAGCCCCGGCUAACUCCGUGCCAGCAGCCGCGGUAAG
rnacentral:rRNA from 1 species